rnacentral:lncRNA from 12 species
GACUAAUUCACUAAACGUCAUGGCAAUUUUCCUGGACUGCAAAAAGGAGCGAGAAUGCUCCAUCGUCCAGAUCCCAACACGAGUCAUAACAGCACAAUUUGAACAAGAUGUUUUUGCAGACUGGAUGAAAAAUUGUAAGUGGAGUUGGUGUAACAUCACAUUUCUCUUUACCCAAGGUAAUUAAAAUAAAAGAGAUCUAUUAUUUCA